rnacentral:rRNA from 1 species
GACGAACCGAGCGAACGUUGUUCGGAAUCACUGGGCUUAAAGGGCGCGUAGGCGGGCUGUCAAGUCUGGGGUGAAAUCUCGCGGCUCAACCGCGGAACUGCCUCAGAUACUGACGGCCUCGAGGGGGGUAGGGGCGAGCGGAACGGGUGGUGGAGCGGUGAAAUGCGUAGAUAUCUGGAGGAACACCGGUGGCGAAGGCGGCAUCCUGGACCGGCAUUGACGCUGAGGCGGCGAAAGCCAGGGGA